UUAAGUUCAGCGGGUAGUCCUACCUGAUUUGAGGUCAAACAUUCAAAAAGUUGUCCACAUGAUGGGACCAUUAGAAGCUGAACAGACAGAGAGCGUUCCAGGUCUUUGGCGUAGAUAAUUAUCACACCAGUGACAGAUCGCAAACCGUUCCGCUAAUGCAUUUCAGGAGAGCUGACUUUACGCCAGCAUAACCCCCACAA
rnacentral:misc_RNA from 1 species